rnacentral:rRNA from 1 species
GGGGAAUAUUGGACAAUGGGGGCAACCCUGAUCCAGCAAUACCGCGUGUGUGAAGAAGGCCUUCGGGUUGUAAAGCACUUUAGUUGGGGAAGAAGGUGUAUUGUUUAAGAGAUGAUACAUUUGACGGUACCCAAAGAAUAAGCACCGGCUAACUCUGUGCCAGCAGCCGCGGUAAGACAGAGGGUGCAAACGUUGUUCGGAAUCACUGGGCGUAAAGCGCGUGUAGGCGGCCGCGUAAGUCGGGCGUGAAGUCCCACAGCUCAACUGUGGAAGUGCACUCGAAACUGCGUGGCUAGAGUCCUGGAGAGGAAGGUGGAAUACUUGGUGUAGAGGUGAAAUUCGUAGAUAUCAAGUGGAACACCGGUGGCGAAGGCGGCCUUCUGGACAGUGACAGACGCUGAGACGCGAAAGCGUGGGGAGCAAA